GAUGAAGAACGUAGCGAAAUGCGAUACGUAAUGUGAAUUGCAGAAUUCAGUGAAUCAUCGAAUCUUUGAACGCAUAUUGCGCUCUUUGGUAUUCCGAAGAGCAUGCUUGUUUGAGUAUCAGUAAACACCUCAAAGCUUUUGGAUUUUUUAAUCGAAAAGCUUUGGACUUGAGCAAUCCCAACACCAAUCUUUUUGAGAUCGGUGGCGGGUUGCUUGAAAUGCAGGUGCAGCUGGACAUUCUCCUGAGCUAAAAGCAUAUUCAUUUAGUCCCGUCAAACGGAUUAUUACUUUUGCUGCAGCUAACAUAAAGGGAGUUUGACCGUAUUGGCUGACUGAUGCAGGAUUUCACAAGGGUCGGCAACGAUUCUUGUUAAACUCGAUCUCAAAUCAAGUAAGACUACCCGCUGAACUUAAGCAUAUCAAUAAGCGGAGG
rnacentral:misc_RNA from 1 species